rnacentral:lncRNA from 1 species
AACUUUUCCCUUCAAAGGACACUGACCGCUGUGUCAAAAGAAGAGUGUAGGAGGCUAAUGGAGAAGCAGGGAAAUAAGUUAGGAUGCUGUUACAGUAAUGCAGAUGAGAGACUGGUUGUGGCUUGGAUCAGGGAAGUAAUGGUGAAGGUCGUGAGAGGUAGCCAGAUUCGGGGUAGAUUUCUGAAUAACACAGUGAAACCCCAGUUUUUUGUUUUUUGGUUUUUUUUCUUUUGAGAUGGAGUUUUGCUCCUGUUGCCCAGGCUGGAGUGCAACAGCGCGAUCUUGGCUCACUGCAACAUCGGAGGUUGCAGUGAGCCAAGAUUGCCAUUGCACUCCAGCUUGGCGACAGAACGAGAUUCCGUCUCAACAACAACAACAAAAAACAAACAUAAAAAACCCCCAUAAAUCUUGUAAUA